rnacentral:rRNA from 1 species
UUAUGGCUCAGGAUGAACGCUGGCGGCGUGCCUAAUACAUGCAAGUCGAACGCUGGAUAUCCAGCUUGCUGGAUUGAAGGAGUGGCGAACGGGUGAGUAAUACAUAAGCAACCUGCCCACGAAGACUGGGAUAAUCUCUGGAAACGGGGACUAAGACCGGAUAGGUAAUAACGAGGCAUCUCGAUAUUAUUAGAGGUGAGAAACACUGGUGGAUGGGCUUAUGGCGCAUUAGCUGGUUGGUGAGGUAACGGCCCACCAAGGCGAUGAUGCGUAGCCGGCCUGAGAGGGUGAACGGCCACAUUGGGACUGAGACACGGCCCAGACUCCUACGGGAGGCAGCAGUAGGGAAUUUUCGGCAAUGGGCGAAAGCCUGACCGAGCAAACCGCCGCGUGAGUGAUGACGGCCUUCGGGUUGUAAAGCUCUGUUGUAAGGGAAGAACUGCGGGGAUAGGAUCCCCGACUGACGGUACCUUACCAGAAAGCCACGGCUAACUACGUGCCAGCCGCCGC